rnacentral:rRNA from 1 species
AUUGAACGCUGGCGGCAGGCCUAACACAUGCAAGUCGAGCGGGGUAGCAAUACCCUAGCGGCGGACGGGUGAGGAAUGCAUCGGAACGUGCCUGUAGUGGGGAUAACNCAGCGAAAGUUGUGCUAAUACCGCAUACGCCCUGAGGGGAAAGUGGGGACCGCAAGGCCUCACGCUAUAUGAGCGGCCGAUGCCCGAUUAGCUAGUUGGUGAGGUAAUGGCUCACCAAGGCGACGAUCGGUAGCUGGUCUGAGAGGAUGAUCAGCCACACUGGAACUGAGACACGGUCCAGACUCCUACGGGAGGCAGCAGUGGGGAAUAUUGGACAAUGGGGGCAACCCUGAUCCAGCCAUGCCGCGUGAGUGAAGAAGGCCUCGGGUUGUAAAGCUCUUUAAGCGGGAGGAAGGUCGUGCAGUUAAUACCUGCGCGAAUUGACGUUACCUGCAGAAUAAGCACCGGCUAACUCUGUGCCAGCAGCCGCGGUAAAUACAGAGGGUGCAAGCGUUAAUCGGAAUUACUGGGCGUAAAGCGUGCGUAGGUGGCUGAUUAAGCUGGAUGUGAAAAGCCCCGGGCUUAACCUGGGANNGCAUUCAGGACUGGUCAGCUCGAGUCUGGGAGAGGGUGGUGGAAUUUCCGGUG